rnacentral:rRNA from 1 species
GUACUGUGCGAACGUUAUUCGGAAUCACUGGGCUUAAAGGGUGCGUAGGCGGUUGAUUAAGUAGGGGUGUGAAAGCUCUCGGGCCUAACCGAGGAAUUGCGCUCUAAACUGAUCAACUUGAGUGAGAUAGGGGUGUGCGGAACUUCCAGUGGAGCGGUGAAAUGUGUUGAUAUUGGAAGGAACGCCGGUGGCGAAAGCGGCACACUGGGUCUCAACUGACGCUGAGGCACGAAAGCCAGGGUAGCGAACGGGAUUAGAUACCCCGGUAGUCCUGGCUGUAAACGAUGAGCACUAGACGGGAGGGGCUUCGGCCCAUCCGGUCGCAGCGAAAGCAAUAAGUGCUCCGCCUGGGGAGUAUGGUCGCAAGGCUG